GCCAAGACUAGAAUCACAUCCUGUCAUGGUACUUGCCCUGGUAUGCCAGAGUUCUCGUAGAGAAUCUGCUGAUCUUGAUUCCUGCUAGGGACCUUCAGUGUCCCUAUAUGGCAAAAGAAAAUAAGGGAAAAAA